CCUACGGGGGGCAGCAGUGGGGAAUAUUGGGCAAUGGGCGCAAGCCUGACCCAGCAACGCCGCGUGAAGGAAGAAGGCUUUCGGGUUGUAAACUUCUUUUCUCAGGGACGAAGACAGUGACGGUACCUGAGGUAUAAGCCAACGCUAACUACGCGCCCGCAGCCGCGGUAAUACGUAGGGGGCAAGCGUUACCCGGAUUCAUUGGGUGUAAAGGGCGUGUAGGCGGGAACGCAAGCCAGAUGUGAAACCUCAGGGCUCAACCCUGAGCCUGCAUUUGAAACUGUGUGUCUUGAGUGCUGGAGAGGCAAUCGGAAUUCCGAGUGUAGCGGUGAAAUGCGUAGAUAUACGGAGGAACACCAGUGGCGAAGGCGGAUUGCUGGACAGUAACUGACGCUGAGGCGCGAAAGCGUGGGGAGCAAACAGGAUUAGAUACCCGGGUAGUC
rnacentral:rRNA from 1 species